GGACAAAGGACUUGGAAUCAGACCCUCUUGGACAGAAAUCUAUAUCCCCGUGAAACGCUGUCAUGUCAUCCUGAAAGACAAGAAUGGGGAAGGCCUGCGAGUGCUUCAGAGGAUGGGCCAGCCACAAGGCCAGUUCCUGAGGACUUGCUGCAAUCAGUUAACCACUCGGGCUUGGAUUAUGGGGAAGGACUACAUACACCCUGGGAAGAGGAGCCACUUUCUCUCAAACCUUCUCAGAUGUGGACGAGGAUGAAACUGGCCAGGAGCUCUGUGGUGAUGGAACAGAAUGUGUCAACAGUUCUGCUGCCAAAAGGAGUAUGAAGACCAUGUCCCCACUCAGCUGGGCAUGCUGUGUGUGCGUGCUCCUCACGCCGGUGUUGGCUGCCCAGAUGCUCUCCCACUUGCAUCUGCUGUGAAGAUUAACAGAAAUUCCAGGUGGUUGGAGACAAGUGUAAUAGGAGAAGAACAGUGAUGUCCUGGGCCCUGGCUAAGGUACAAAGCUGUGCACAAAAGGUUCCUUCUAUCUCAGGCCCUCUCUUCACAUCCCCACCAAAUAGCUCUGCUAAAGAAAGACUCAAGUUUUUGCUGAAAUACCCUUGAAGAAAACCUCCUUGGAAUUUGGAUCUACAGUUUCAGAAGAAGUUGACAUGGGCCUCGCCCUCCUGGCAAAUUUCAAGGCCAACAAAAGACAAAGGCAGAAGCAAGGCUGCCCCUGGACCAAUGGUGA